rnacentral:rRNA from 1 species
GAUGAACGCUAGCGGCAGGCUUAAUACAUGCAAGUCGAGGGGCAGCGCGGGUAGCAAUACCUGGCGGCGACCGGCGCACGGGUGCGUAACACGUAUGCAACCUACCUUAAACUGGGGAAUAGCCCCUCGAAAGAGGGAUUAAUGCCCCAUAACACUGUGAAAAGGCAUCUUUUUACAUUUAAAGCUCCGGCGGUUUAAGAUGGGCAUGCGCGACAUUAGCUAGUUGGUGAGGUAACGGCUCACCAAGGCUGUGAUGUCUAGGGGUUCUGAGAGGAAAAUCCCCCACACUGGUACUGAGACACGGACCAGACUCCUACGGGAGGCAGCAGUAAGGAAUAUUGGUCAAUGGACGCAAGUCUGAACCAGCCAUGCCGCGUGCAGGAUGACGGCCCUAUGGGUUGUAAACUGCUUUUGUACGGAAAAAACCCCCCCGACGUGUCGGGGGCUGAUGGUACCGUAAGAAUAAGGAUCGGCUAACUCCGUG